UUCAUUUUGAUCCCUUGCCCUCGUUUUCCCUCUGGACAUCUGGAACUGCAAAUCUUCAUUUCUUCUCACAAUUCUGCAAAUUAAUUCUUUGGAAAUGCGUGUUCUUCCUCCUGCCCGUGCGAAUCUGGCUUCAAUGAUCCGUCGGCGUCGCUGUUAGUUGUUUCAUCUUGUCUCUGGAGCUCUGUGUCUCUCUGCGGUCUUCUCUCGAAAUCUCAUCCUUUGAUCUUUAAACUCUCAAUCUUACUCGCAGUCCGAGCACUUUCGCCGUUGAAUUCGAAGGCUCAUGUGAUUGGAUUUAGAUCUUAAUUUAUGCCUUCAAGCUUGUCGCUGGUCGUUUUCCUAAGAUUUGGUAAAUGUUAGCGCUUGCACCAUGAAAACUAUGCCUUUUAUGGCUCUUAGAAGGAAGUUCUGUGAGAAUAUUGUGCAGGAAUUCAUGCUACAUCGAUGCUACAGUUCUAAAGUCGACUUGAAGAAGCUUCGUCCAAUGAUUUUGAAGAGAAUUCAAAAUCGGGCUAAUAAUUGUCCUAUAAAAGGUCUAAUUCCAGUGGCACAGCAAGUCUUUGAAGCUAGGGCAAUGCUUAUUCAUGGAGUUUCCACUCUUCUCAAAGCAUUUCCGGUUGUCUCUUGCAAAUUUUGUCCAGAAGUAUAUGUUGGUGAGAAAGGUCAUCUGAUACGAAGCUGUGGCGGUUACAAACGCGGGCCUAAGAAUCAGGUUCAUGAGUGGAUCAGAGGUGGUUUGAAUGAUGUCCUUGUCCCAGUAGAAGCAUUUCACCGCCAUCACAUGUUCGAAAAGGUUAAUGAACAUGAUGAGAGGCUCAAUUUUGAGCGUGUUCCAGCAGUUGUGGAACUAUGCUGGCAAGCUGGAGCCAAUACAAAUGAGGAAAAUCAGUCUUCAAGCACUUGGAAUUCAGUUGGUGGUGGUGGUGGCGGCGGCUCAGGCAGGGAUGAACCUUUAUCAGGUAAUGAGAUGAGGCUUUUGGCAACCGAAACUCUCAGGGCGUGGGAAACGGUUCGAACGGGCGUGCAGAAACUGUUAAUGGUAUAUCCUACUAAGAUCUGUAAAUACUGCUCAGACGUUCAUGUUGGGCCAUCAGUACACCAAGCUAGACCAUGUGGAGUUUUUAAAUGUGAGAGCUGGCGAGGAUCCCACUUCUGGGAGAAGGCGGAUGUAGAUGAUUUAGUUCCUCCGAAGAUCGCAUGGCAUCGGCGACCUCAAGAUCCUCCCGUGCUCGUUGACGAAGGGAGGGAUUAUUACGGGCAAUCGCCAGCAGUCCUGGCUCUUUGCACACAGGCUGGUGCCAUUGCACCACCUAAGUAUCAUUGUAUGAUGAAAGUUCAAGGCUUACCACCACCUCAGAGUCACCUCAAGCUAUGAAAUCUUCUUUUGUUCAACUUCACGUGGAGCUUGACAACAACACUCAGACUCGAUUACAGUUCACGACCUUCAGGUAUAUAAGCCUCUUCACUCUGUGAUGGAAUGUCAAGCACAAAACAGAAGUAAAUUUAGAGAAUGAGAAUGGGGAGGCUUACUUCUUUGGUGUUGGCCGCUAUUGUUGGUCUUCUAGGCCUCAUAGGCUCC